UACGAAGGGGGCUAGCGUUGCUCGGAAUCACUGGGCGUAAAGGGUGCGUAGGCGGGUCUUUAAGUCAGGGGUGAAAUCCUGGAGCUCAACUCCAGAACUGCCUUUGAUACUGAGGAUCUUGAGUAUGGGAGAGGUGAGUGGAACUGCGAGUGUAGAGGUGAAAUUCGUAGAUAUUUGCAAGAACACCAGUGGCGAAGGCGGCUCACUGGCCCAUUACUGACGCUGAGGCACGAAAGCGUGGGGAGCAAACAGG
rnacentral:rRNA from 1 species